AGCAGUAGCCGCGGUAAUACGUAGGUCCCGAGCGUUGUCCGGAUUUAUUGGGCGUAAAGCGAGCGCAGGCGGUUAGAUAAGUCUGAAGUUAAAGGCUGUGGCUUAACCAUAGUACGCUUUGGAAACUGUUUAACUUGAGUGCAAGAGGGGAGAGUGGAAUUCCAUGUGUAGCGGUGAAAUGCGUAGAUAUAUGGAGGAACACCGGUGGCGAAAGCGGCUCUCUGGCUUGUAACUGACGCUGAGGCUCGAAAGCGUGGGGAGCAAACAGGAUUAGAUACCCCGGUAGUCCCUGUCUCUUAUACA
rnacentral:rRNA from 1 species